AACGAACGCUGGCGGCAGGCCUAACACAUGCAAGUCGAGCGAGCAUUUCGGUGCUAGCGUCGGAAGGGUGAGUAACGCGUGGGAACGUGCCCUUUUCUGCGGAAUAGUCCUGGGAAACUGGGGGUAAUACCGCAUACGCCCUUUUUAGGAAAGAUUUAUCGGAGAAGGAUCGGCCCGCGUUGGAUUAGGUAGUUGGUGGGGCAAUGGCCCACCAAGCCGACGAUCCAUAGCUGGUUUGAGAGGAUGAUCAGCCACACUGGGACUGAGACACGGCCCAGACUCCUACGGGAGGCAGCAGUGGGGAAUCUUAGACAAUGGGGGCAACCCUGAUCUAUCCAUGCCGCGUGAGUGAUGAAGGCCUUAGGGUUGUAAAGCUCUUUCAGCUGGGAAGAUAAUGACGGUACCAGCAGAAGAAGCCCCGGCUAACUCCGUG
rnacentral:rRNA from 1 species